GUGACAUUUGGUCUGUUCUUGGCUCGU
rnacentral:sRNA from 1 species